AACGAACGCUGGCGGCGUGCUUAACACAUGCAAGUCGAACGUGAAAGGCUUCGGCCGAGUAAAGUGGCGCACGGGUGAGUAACGCGUGGGUAAUCUGCCCUUGGGCGGGGGAUAACCUCUCGAAAGGGGGGCUAAUACCGCAUGAGACCACGGCUUCUCAGGGCUGUGGGAAAAGGUGGGUCGCAAGGCCUGCCACCUGAGGAUGAGCCCGCGUACCAUUAGGUUGUUGGUGGGGUAAUGGCCUACCAAGCCGAAGAUGGUUAGCUGGUCUGAGAGGACGAUCAGCCACACUGGGACUGAGACACGGCCCAGACUCCUACGGGAGGCAGCAGUGGGGAAUUUUGGACAAUGGGCGCAAGCCUGAUCCAGCCAUGCCGCGUGAGUGAAGAAGGCC
rnacentral:rRNA from 1 species